rnacentral:rRNA from 1 species
GCAGAUAUCAGGAGGAACACCGGUGGCGAAGGCGGGACUCUGGGCUGUUACUGACGCUGAGGAGCGAAAGCAUGGGGAGCGAACAGGAUUAGAUACCCUGGUAGUCCAUGCCGUAAACGUUGGGAACUAGGUGUGGGGUCCAUUCCACGGAUUCCGCGCCGUAGCUAACGCAUUAAGUUCCCCGCCUGGGGAGUACGGCCGCAAGGCUAAAACUCAAAGGAAUUGACGGGGGCCCGCACAAGCGGCGGAGCAUGCGGAUUAAUUCGAUGCAACGCGAAGAACCUUACCAAGGCUUGACAUGCACUGGAAUCGCCUAGAGAUAGGUGCGCCCUUUGGGGCUGGUGUACAGGUGGUGCAUGGUUGUCGUCAGCUCGUGUCGUGAGAUGUUGGGUUAAGUCCCGCAACGAGCGCAACCCUCGUUCUAUGUUGCCAGCACGUGAUGGUGGGAACUCAUAGGAGACUGCCGGGGUCAACUCGGAGGAAGGUGGGGAUGACGUCAAAUCAUCAUGCCCUUUAUGUCUUGGGCUUCACGCAUGCUACAAUGGUCGGUACAGAGGGUGGCGAUGCCGUGAGGUGGAGCGAAUCCCUUAAAGCCGGUCUCAGUUCGGAUCGUAGUCUGCAACUCGACUACGUGAAGUCGGAGUCGCUAGUAAUCGCAGAUCAGCAACGCUGCGGUGAAUACGUUCCCGGGCCUUGUACACACCGCCCGUCAAGUCACGAAAGUCGGUAACACCCGAAGCCGGUGGCCUAACUCUGUGU